GUGGUUAAAGUAAGAUAAAUUUCGCGGAUCAAUGAAUUUUCGACGAUAUGAACAACUCAGAUAACAUUGUCGGGAAAAAGGGUGCAAGUAGAAUAUUUUUAUAUUUCAACGCAUUGCAACUCUGGGGAACAAACGAUACGAAUUCCUAAGAAAUUCGUAUUAAUUGAAUCUUCUUUUCGAGACGUACUUUGACCGGAGCAUCCCCUUACCUUUCACAAGAGCGCGAAUUAUCAGAAGAUAAUGAAUCUAACCUAUUUAGAGAGGAAGAAACUUCAGAAGUUCCAGCGACUAAUGCCCAAAUGCAAGAAGCUCUACGAAUUGUUCGUCGUAGCGUGCGAUAUAGAACAACAAAGUUCGAGAAGCAUUAUAACUUAAUAUCACCGGGAUCGUUGGCUCCUCCGUGUCGCAGCUUUUGCAACCAGGUCGCCUUUGAGGCAGAGUAUCACCUUCCCCAUGGAAAGUGCGUUCGACGAGGGUAAACUAUCUGAAAGCCUGCACUUAUAUCGAAAUCAACCGUUGACUCGAUCAGUGGGUCAAGGAGAGGAUCAUGGGGUUACGAUUAACGAAGACAUCGAAGAAUGAUCGCAAGGCCGCCUGCUAUACGUAGAUUUAGAAGUGACACAAUCGGAAUUCGUACGAAGCAAUUGGAACCAAGG
rnacentral:misc_RNA from 1 species